rnacentral:rRNA from 1 species
UACCAGCUCCGCGAGUGGUCGGGACGUUUAUUGGGUCUAAAGCGUCCGUAGCCGGCUUACUAAGUCUCCGGCUAAAGCCGACGGCUCAACCGUCGGAGUGCCGAAGAUACUGGUAGGCUUGGGGGCGGAAGAGGCCGAGGGUACUUCCGGGGUAGGGGCGAAAUCCUAUAAUCCCGGAAGGACCACCAGUGGCGAAGGCGCUCGGCUAGUACGCGCCCGACGGUGAGGGACGAAAGCUGGGGGAGCGAACCGG